rnacentral:rRNA from 1 species
UACGUAGGGUGCGAGCGUUAAUCGGAAUUACUGGGCGUAAAGGGUGCGCAGGCGGCGUCGCAAGUCAGGCGUGAAAUCCCCGGGCUUAACCUGGGAACUGCACUUGAAACUACGAUGCUGGAGUAUGGCAGAGGGAGGUGGAAUUCCACGUGUAGCGGUGAAAUGCGUAGAGAUGUGGAGGAACACCGGAGGCGAAGGCGGCUUGCUGGGCAUUGUCUGACGCUGAGGCGCGAAAGCGUGGGGAGCGAACAGG